rnacentral:rRNA from 1 species
UACAGAGGGUGCGAGCGUUAAUCGGAAUUACUGGGCGUAAAGCGUGCGUAGACGGUAGCGUAAGUCAGAUGUGAAAGCCCCGGGCUCAACCUGGGAAUUGCAUUUGAGACUGCUCUGCUCGGGUGCGGAAGAGGGAAGCGGAAUUUCCGGUGUAGCGGUGAAAUGCGUAGAUAUCGGAAGGAACACCAGUGGCGAAAGCGGCUUCCUGGUCCGACACCGACGUUCAGGCACGAAAGCUAGGGGAGCAAACAGG